UUGGAUGAUGAGGGAACACAGCAAAUGGUGCUUAUGUCUUCCCUCUCUCUCCAAGUAUGCUGUGUAGAAUGAAGACUCAAGCCAGGUCACAAAUAGACCCUAUCAGAGCCUCAAGGUACUUGUAUGUGUUGCCAAUCAUAAACAGAACUCUUUACUUCAUGUUUAAAGCCCACAUGAUGGAUUUGCAAGAUCCUGUUAACAAUGGGUCAAUUUGAAGAGAUGAAAAAG
rnacentral:lncRNA from 1 species